CUUUACUCUGGGUUUAAUCGCACCUCACUCUGGAUUUUACUCACCCUUUACUCCGGGUUUACUCACACUUUACUCUGGGUUUUACUCACCCUUUACUCCAGGUUUACUCAACCUUUACUCUGGGUUUAGGCACACCUCACUCCGGGUUUUACUCAGCCUUUACUUCAGGUUUACUCAACCUUCACUCAGGUUUUACUCACCCUUUAUUCCAGGUUUACACACACUUUACUCCGGGUUUUACUCACCCUUUACUCCAGGUUUACUCACCCUUCACUCCGGUUUUACACACCCUUUAUUCCACGUUUACACACACUUUACUCUGGGUUUACUCUCACUUUACUCCGGGUUUCACUCCCCCUUUACUAUGGGUUUACUCACCCUUUACUCCGGUUUUACACACCCUUUAUUCCACGUUUACACACACUUUACUCCGCUCCAUAGAUGGGCCCCUGUGCCCCGUCGAUGCAACCCCUGCCCCAUAGAUUCGAUCCGUGCCCCAUAGAUGUGCCCCCCUGCCCCAUACAUGCAACCCCUGCCCCAUAGAUGUGCCCCCCUGCCCCAUAGAUGGGACCCCUGCCCCAUAGAUGGGAGUCCCUGCCCCAUAGAAGUGCCCCCCUGCCCC
ensembl:lncRNA